CCUACGGUGGGCAGCAGUGAGGAAUAUUGGUCAAUGGGCGCGAGCCUGAACCAGCCAAGUCGCGUGAGGGAAGACGGUCCUAUGGAUUGUAAACUUCUUUUGUCGGGGAGCAAAAGACGCCACGCGUGGCGUUCCGAGAGUACCCGAAGAAAAAGCAUCGGCUAACUCCGUGCCAGCAGCCGCGGUAAUACGGAGGAUGCGAGCGUUAUCCGGAUUUAUUGGGUUUAAAGGGUGCGUAGGGGGAGGAUCAAGUCAGCGUGAAAAUUUGGAGGCUAAACCUUUUCGAGCAGUUGAAACUGGCUGUCUUGAGUGAGUGAGAGGUAGGCGGAAUGCGUGGUGUAGCGGUGAAAUGCAUAGAUAUCACGCAGAACUCCGAUUGCGAAGGCAGCAUAC
rnacentral:rRNA from 1 species